AGUCGAGGGGCAGCACGGUAUAGCAAUAUAUGGGUGGCGACCGGCAAACGGGUGCGGAACACGUACACAACCUUCCGGUGAGCGGGGGAUAGCCCAGAGAAAUUUGGAUUAAUACCCCAUACUAUAAUGAUCAGGCAUCUGGUUAUUAUCAAAGGCUUCGGCCGCUUAUUGAUGGGUGUGCGUCUGAUUAGGUAGUUGGCGGGGUAGAGGCCCACCAAGCCUACGAUCAGUAGCUGAUGUGAGAGCAUGAUCAGCCACACGGGCACUGAGACACGGGCCCGACUCCUACGGGAGGCAGCAGUAAGGAAUAUUGGACAAUGGACGCAAGUCUGAUCCAGCCAUGCCGCGUGAAGGAUGAAUGCCCUCUGGGUUGUAAACUUCUUUUACAGGGGAAGAAAGUUAUCUUUUUUAGGAUAUUUGACGGUACCCUAUGAAUAAGCACCGGCUAACUCCGUGCCAGCAGCCGCGGUAAUACGGAGGGUGCAAGCGUUAUCCGGAUUCACUGGGUUUAAAGGGUGCGUAGGCGGGUAUGUAAGUCAGUGGUGAAAUACCGGAGCUUAACUUCGGAACUGCCAUUGAUACUAUAUAUCUUGAAUAUUGUGGAGGUAAGCGGAAUAUGUCAUGUAGCGGUGAAAUGCUUAGAGAUGACAUAGAACACCGAUUGCGAAGGCAGCUUACUACGCAAAUAUUGACGCUGAGGCACGAAAGCGUGGGGAUCAAACAGGAUUAGAUACCCUGGUAGUCCACGCCCUAAACGAUGAUUACUCGACAUUAGCGAUACACAGUUAGUGUCUGAGCGAAAGCAUUAAGUAAUCCACCUGGGAAGUACGAC
rnacentral:rRNA from 1 species